GAAUAACAUCGCGCUGUGAUUGGUCGGUGUUGCUAUAAAGGAACCACUGAGCGGACGGAGCUAACACUUAAACUCUUCUUAAACUUACCUUCAACUCUUCUUAUUUCUUUCUGGGGCUUUUAGGAUCUUUGUUAGGUGAUUCUGUCUCUGUCUCUGGUGUUUUUUUCACGCGAAACUGUAGAAGCUAAUAUUUUCAGUGAAACAAAUGGAGCUGUGCACAAGCGUCAAGCUAACAUGCUAAAACGCGGGUAACUCUGGGACCAUGCGGUACCUCUCCGGUACCUGUCCGGACCGACCGAAGACGGAGUUCUGAUGGACCUGUUAAAGCAGGAACCAGAGACCUGAUGUCUUGAUGUGGACGAUGCAGGAUCUGAUCUGGCUCUGCUCCUGCCCCCCCUCCCUCAGGCUCAUGGAAUGAGAUGACCCAAACUGUGAUGUCAUCGUGAAGUCAGAACUACAAAGGUGUGUGAACCUGAAUCUGCCACAGGUGGAGAAGCUCAGAACUGGAUUCAAAGGGACAAUGGCAGGACUCGACACUGAACAGUUUUUCUACUGCGUUCGACUUUACUACGGUGCAGGAAGCUCUGCUGUUCAGCUGUCAGCUCUAUAAACCUGACAUUUGAUAUUCAAUAAAGAAAUGGACUCUGGGCAGUGUGGUUCUGUGGUGACGUUUUCACUGUACAAAACUGAGUUGGGUUUGGGUUCAGUGUUUGACUGAACCCUCAGCAGCAACCCUCCCCCAUGUGGCUCGUCAGCUCCAACUGAUGGAAGCUGAAACAUCUUCAGGAAAUUAAGUUUGGAUGGUG
rnacentral:lncRNA from 1 species